GGUCUCGUAGCUCGGUUAGAGCGACGGUCCGAUGUACCGUAGGUCGAAGGUUCAAGCCCUUCCGAGAUCA
rnacentral:tRNA from 1 species